CCCAGCCUGUUGUCCUAGCCUGAGUCACCGCAGGGGUACCGGGGCCCAGGCGGGUCAACGGUCUCUGGGUGGCUCCUGGGGCCAGGAGCUCCCCCUCCUCCAGCGGUGACAGCCAUAAGUGUCCCCAGAUGAGGCCAAGUGUCCCAUGGCAGGGUGGACGUGCCCCUGGGUGAGGGGCCCGGCCACACAGCUUCGCUUCCCGUUCCACUGAGCACCUGCCAGUGCCUGCGGCACGUUUAUCUCCUUGCUCAGUGCUCAGCACCCGCUUCCUGCCUUUCUGUCGCCCUCCUCUGGAUCCUCAGCACCCCGUCAGGACCCGCCCGGGCAGAUGCUCAGAGUCCCCUCAGGGGCGGGCAGGCCUGGGGGGCUUCGCCCUUGGGCACCCGCUGAAAGUCACGUUCCCCAGAAAAUCUGAGCCUGCAACAGCUCUGCCCCGGCCACAGGGGCGGGCGGACCUCCCCAGGCUUCCGCCCGGGUCAGCGCCCGUGCAGCCGGCCUCUCUGAGCCGACGGGUGCAGAGCCACCAGCAGGCUGGCGGCCUGAUCCGGGGACAGGGUGGGGACCUGGGCGCGAGGCUGUCCCCCCAGAGACCCUCGUGCUCACCUUCCCACUCAAGUUCGUUGCCGUUGCCCAGGAACUCCAGCGAGUCCGUCUCGUCGGGGGUCUCCAUGUCGUCCACGUUGAUGUCCAGGUCAUCAGGGGUGUCCAGGAAGUCGUCGGACAGCAGGGAGCCCUCGCUCUGAUCCAGGGAAAUGUUGAUGUCCGGGGCCACCAGCGUCUUCCUCGUGCGGCCCGGGCAGACUUACAAGAUGUGUCUUCCACGGGGCUGCCGAGCAACUCCAUGCCCGUCUCUUCUGGGAGCGGCCUGAGGACCCAGGCAGGAAUGGCCACGAACAUCCACCAGCGGCGGCCAGCCAGGCGUGUGCAGACAAGACAAGACGGACAGACACAAUCCAAGGCCAUUCUCAGUUAUGCGGAUGAUUUUAGGAAACGCGGCCAGGCACAUGUGUCUCCCUGAGGCGGCCCUGGGCUCCCGGCCACGACCCUGGAGCUGAGCUCAGGUCUGCAGGCGGGUCCUGGUUCUCAGGCACCCCCGCCUGCCCUCCUGGGAGCUGCCCAGGCCCUGGCUCCUUCCCUCCCUGCAGGCCGCGCUGGCCGGUGAGCGGCAGGGCAGUCGGAGCCUCAGGCCUGCAGUGGGACUGUUCAGAGGGCAGAGCUGCCUUGCAGGAUGGAGCAGGUCUCUGCGUCUCCCUGGCCCGCCCUGCCCCAUCCCUGGUGCUCUGUGAGUGACUGCUCUGUCCCAGGCUUGUCCCUGGCCUGGAGGCCAGGAAGAACCCAAGGCCAGCCUGGCCUCGUGCUGGCUCAAAGCAGGGUGGAUGCCCGGAGGGAAAGAAAAGAAGGAAACUGUCCACAGGACCACGCCCAGGGUCCACAGCUGCCCACCUCCGCAGAGCCGGGACGGUGCCAUCCAGGUGUGCGCUCGGGCACGAGUGGAUGAAUUCAGUGCCAUCCACCCACCCGGAGUGUCCCUCGGCCAGAGCGGGAGCAAGGCGACACAGCUGCAGCAUGGACAGACCUGAGGACCGCAUGCUCGGUGAGAGCCUGCUGUGCAGGCCACAGCGUGUGACCAGCGACAGGAGGGUUCAGAACA